UAGGGAAUCUUCCGCAAUGGACGCAAGUCUGACGGAGCAACGCCGCGUGAGUGAAGAAGGAUUUCGGUUCGUAAAACUCUGUUGUUAGAGAAGAACAGCGCAUAGAGUAACUGUUAUGCGUGUGACGGUAUCUAACCAGAAAGCCACGGCUAACUACGUGCCAGCAGCCGCGGUGAUACGUAGGUGGCAAGCGUUGUCCGGAUUUAUUGGGCGUAAAGCGAGCGCAGGCGGUCAAUUAAGUCUGAUGUGAAAGCCCCCGGCUCAACCGGGGAGGGUCAUUGGAAACUGGUUGACUUGAGUGCAGAAGAGGAGAGUGGAAUUCCAUGUGUAACGGUGAAAUGCGUAGAUAUAUGGAGGAACACCAGUGGCGAAGGCGACUCUCUGGUCUGUAACUGACGCUGAGGCUCGAAAGCGUGGGUAGCAAACAGG
rnacentral:rRNA from 1 species